rnacentral:rRNA from 1 species
AUGGCUGAGGACCUCAUCCCCCUUGACCUCACAUUGGACGGAGACGGAAGGCCAAGGGCUACAAUGGGAACACGUGUCAUCAAGCAAUCGCACGGCCAUGAUUAUGAUGAUACCACUUUUGACAAGGAGGGCGACGAUGAUGACGAUGACCAAAAUCAAGACGAAGAAGACGACAACGGUGCAGAGGACGAUGAUGAAGAAGAAGACAAUGACUUGACCCAUAUCAAUUGCUCUCUUGAAUUUGAUCAAGAUGGUGAACCUGAUGAUAUCCCCAUAAUUAGCCGGCACCUCAUCGAGUCACGUGGGAAGCUACUCCUGGUAAGACAUCAUCGGUACUGCCAUCCAGACCUCGAUGCAGGACCUACAUGGCUCACUGUCCAGGUGGAUGUAUUUGAAGCAGACUUUAACACACACGCUUGGGUGCCACUGACGGAAGGGCUAGGUGGUGGUCGAGCACUCUUCCUUAGCAUGAAGUUCUCUAAGUCUGUCCCAGCACCUUGUGGAGAGGUGGAGGAAGAUGCAAUUUAUUUUAUGGACACGGGCAAUGUGUUCAACAUGAAGUCCGGUACUUCUAACCCUUCAAAGUUUUGUGAGUAUCCUGGAACAACAUGGCUCUUCCCUUCUGAGUUGAUACUUUGA